rnacentral:rRNA from 1 species
CCUACGGGUGGCUGCAGUGGGGAAUAUUGGACAAUGGGCGAAAGCCUGAUCCAGCCAUGCCGCGUGUGUGAAGAAGGCCUUCGGGUUGUAAAGCACUUUCAGUGGGGAAGAAAGCCUUGGGGCUAAUACCCUCGAGGAAGGACAUCACCCACAGAAGAAGCACCGGCUAACUCCGUGCCAGCAGCCGCGGUAAUACGGAGGGUGCGAGCGUUAAUCGGAAUUACUGGGCGUAAAGCGCGCGUAGGCGGUCUGAUAAGCCGGUUGUGAAAGCCCCGGGCUCAACCUGGGAACGGCAUCCGGAACUGUCAGGCUAGAGUGCAGGGGAGGAAGGUAGAAUUCCCGGUGUAGCGGUGAAAUGCGUAGAGAUCGGGAGGAAUACCAGUGGCGAAGGCGGCCUUCUGGACUGACACUGACGCUGAGGUGCGAAAGCGUGGGUAGCAAACAGGAUUAGAUACCCGAGUAGUC